rnacentral:rRNA from 1 species
AUUGAACGCUGGCGGCAGGCCUAACACAUGCAAGUCGAGCGGGGGUUUUCGGACCUAGCGGCGGACGGGUGAGUAAUGCGUAGGAAGCUACCCGAUAGAGGGGGAUACCAGUUGGAAACGACUGUUAAUACCGCAUAAUGUCUACGGACCAAAGUGUGGGACCUUCGGGCCACAUGCUAUCGGAUGCGCCUACGUGGGAUUAGCUAGUUGGUGGGGUAAUGGCUCACCAAGGCGACGAUCCCUAGCUGGUUUGAGAGGAUGAUCAGCCACACUGGAACUGAGACACGGUCCAGACUCCUACGGGAGGCAGCAGUGGGGAAUAUUGGACAAUGGGCGGCAAGCCUGAUCCAGCCAUGCGCGUGUGUGAAGAAGGCCUCGGUU